CAGGGGUGAUGCUGGGCAAGGGUUCUGCAGAGCCCACUGCUUAGCCAUCUCUAGAGUCUGCUUGGUUCUUCCUCAGUGCCACGGGGAUAUGGCAUUGAUGGUACAAAAGUGCUGAGAGAGCAAGGAGGAGGGCUUGCUGGAGCAGUGGGGUGACAGGUGUGGGGCUAAGAGAUAAGGCUGAAGGAAGCGAGAGGGCCAGCUGGCAUCCUGAGGUGUUUGAAGGGGAGCCAUGGGAGUACUGGGGACAGGAGAGCAACCAGUAGGAGUUGUGCUUCAGCCAGAGCAGUCCCGUAGUUUGUAUAGGAAGAACUGGUGAAGAGUCUGCGGACAGGGAGGCCAGUGGGAAGGUACAAUAAGGUAAGCGAGAGGUGAUAGGCAAUUGAGAGCCAGGGCAGUGAUUAUGAGAAUGAAGACAGGGAACAGGUAAAACUUCUGUUUACUCAUUAAAUGUUCCACUUACUAUGUGUCGGAGCUAGAGAUAAAUAGGUAACAAUGACAUACACUGUGCCCUGUCCCCACUGAGUUCAGAGGUAGAAUUGUGACCUUGCCUCUGGGCACCAACUGAGAAAGAAGGCAGGUUUGGGCAUAGCUAAGGAAGGUCCUGAGGUGGUGGAGUAUUGGGCUGUGACAUCUUAGCAGAGGUGGGACACUUCCUCCAGGGGUGGUGGACUUAGCCUUGAGAUGGAAAUGAAUAGGGUGGUGCUGGAGUGGGAUGUGCAUGAGGAGGGGCUGCACAUGUGUGUGUAGAGCCACUGGCUUCUGAGGCCACAGCAGCUCUGUCAGCAUCUGUGGUUUGGGCCAAAUGCUCUGAGGCAGGGCAGCCUCCACAGAGGACUGCUGACUGUUCCUCUUUCUUUCAUUUCAGCAAAGAAUCAACAAAGUACUCACAUUAUUUGGGGACAUUUUCACACCAUUUCCAUGAAAGCAAGCAUCAUCACUCCCAUCCUAUAGAAGAGGAAAACUGAGGCUCAGUUGAGAGACUCUCUAAAGUCACACAAAUUUAGAAAGGAGCCAGGAUUCAAACGCAGGUGCAUUCAAGUGCAAAGACUAUGUCCCUACCACUGUGCUGACCUAGCUUUUUGGUGUUGGGCUUUUUGCUGCCAAUAAGAUGAUACAGAAGAUGACAAGUUCACUUCCUUUAUUUACCUUUGUGUCAUGCAAAAUAUUUGGGCCUUGACAAAGCUUUGGUGGCAACAGCUGAGGAAGAAAGAAAAGGAGGCAUAGCCUUCCAUCAGCCCUGCUGGAAUUACCCUGAAAACCAGGUCCCUGCACCUACUGACCUCUGUCCUCCUCUGGCCCUAACAGUUCUCCCUCUGAGAUUGCAGUUUACUCUUUACCUCUUGACCCAGGAAAAUCCUGCCUAUCUUCAAGGACCACUUUCUUGGGGCCUCUUGCCUGGCCUUCCUAAGUAUGAGUGUACGGAAGACAGGCUUGUUGGCCCAUUAUAAUCUGUCAGAGGCAAUAACCUGGCCCUUCAUACUUGGGCUUUUUGAGACUGGGUCUGGGCUCCUUCCCUUCCUUUUUUUGGGGAAAUCUUCACAGGGAGUAUCGUAAAAUCUCACCUGCUAUUGUGAUAGGGAGGCCCCACAGACUGCUGGUUUCAGCUGGCGGGAAGCAUAACUGGAACCUUCCUGAUGCCCAGCUAGGUGGGCCUGCCCUGGGAGCUUAGCCCCUCUGCAGUUCAUGGCCAGAGACCCAAUGGACUCUCAGAAGCUUGCUGCCCAGCACCGUCCAGCAAAAGAGCUGGACUGGCAGGUGGCAGGGUGGGGACUUGGCCCCCAGGGGGGCAGUACUGGCCUGUGGUCUCCCCUGAAGGAGUGGGGUGUCUAUCAGAGUCCAGUCAGAAUGCAUUAGCUCUGUGACACGGAUCUCAUUAGUGCCCGUGAGAGGUGUCACUGCGGGAGAAUCGUCGGCUCAGGGA
rnacentral:lncRNA from 1 species